CCGGAAACGGAAGCUAAUACCGGAUACGACGCACGGAGGCAUCUCCUGUGCGUGGAAAGAACUUCGGUCAAGGAUGGACUCGCGGCCUAUCAGGUAGUUGGUGAGGUAACGGCUCACCAAGCCUACGACGGGUAGCCGGCCUGAGAGGGUGACCGGCCACACUGGGACUGAGACACGGCCCAGACUCCUACGGGAGGCAGCAGUGGGGAAUAUUGCACAAUGGGCGCAAGCCUGAUGCAGCAACGCCGCGUGAGGGAUGACGGCCUUCGGGUUGUAAACCUCUUUUAGUAGGGAAGAAGCGAAAGUGACGGUACCUGCAGAAAAAGCACCGGCUAACUACGUGCCAGCAGCCGCGGUAAUACGUAGGGUGCGAGCGUUGUCCGGAAUUAUUGGGCGUAAAGAGCUCGUAGGCGGUCUGUCGCGUCUGCUGUGAAAACCCGAGGCUCAACCUCGGGCCUGCAGUGGGUACGGGCAGACUAGAGUGCGGUAGGGGAGAAUGGAAUUCCUGGUGUAGCGGUGGAAUGCGCAGAUAUCAGGAGGAACACCGAUGGCGAAGGCAGUUCUCUGGGCCGUAACUGACGCUGAGGAGCGAAAGCGUGGGGAGCGAACAGGAUUAGAUACCCUGGUAGUCCACGCCGUAAACGUUGGGCGCUAGAUGUGGGGACCAUUCCACGGUUUCCGUGUCGCAGCUAACGCAUUAAGCGCCCCGCCUGGGGAGUACGGCCGCAAGGCUAAAACUCAAAGGAAUUGACGGGGGGCCCGCACAAGCGGCGGAGCAUGCGGAUUAAUUUCGAUGCAACGCGAAGAACCUUACCAAGGCUUGACAUAUACGAGAACGGGCCAGAAAUGGUCAACUCUUUGGACACUCGUAAACAGGUGGUGCAUGGUUGUCGUCAGCUCGUGUCGUGAGAUGUUGGGUUAAGUCCCGCAACGAGCGCAACCCUCGUUCUAUGUUGCCAGCGCGUAAUGGCGGGAACUCAUAGGAGACUGCCGGGGUCAACUCGGAGGAAGGUGGGGAUGACGUCAAAUCAUCAUGCCCCUUAUGUCUUGGGCUUCACGCAUGCUACAAUGGCCGGUACAAAGGGCUGCAAUACCGUAAGGUGGAGCGAAUCCCAAAAAGCCGGUCUCAGUUCGGAUUGAGGUCUGCAACUCGACCUCAUGAAGUCGGAGUCGCUAGUAAUCGCAGAUCAGCAACGC
rnacentral:rRNA from 1 species